rnacentral:piRNA from 1 species
UCUUUCUGUCAAAACCAUCUUCCAGGGAGA